GGAGGAAGGUGGGGAUGACGUCAAAUCAUCACGCCCCUUACGUCCAGGGCCACACACGUGUUACAAUGGUCGGUACAGACAGUCGCUAAUUCGUAAGAUAGAGCUAAUCUCGAAAGCCGAUCUCAGUUCGGAUAGGGGUCUGAAAUUCGCCCUCGUGAAGUUGGAAUCACUAGUAAUCGCGAAUCAGCCAUGUUGCGGUGAAUACGUU
rnacentral:rRNA from 1 species